rnacentral:rRNA from 1 species
GUGCCCAGGCGCGAAAACUUUGCAAUGCGGGAAACCGUGACAAGGGAACUCUGAGUGCCCGUUAAAUCGGGCUGUCCAUCGGUUUAAACAACCGGUGAAGAAAGGGCCGGGCAAGACCGGUGCCAGCCGCCGCGGUAAUACCGGCGGCUCGAGUGGUGGCCACUAUUACUGGGCUUAAAGCGUUCGUAGCUGGUUUGUUAAGUCUCUGGGGAAAUCUUCCGGCUCAACCGGAAGGCGUCUCAGGGAUACUGGCAGACUAGGGACCGGGAGAGGUGAGAGGUACUCCAGGGGUAGGAGUGAAAUCCUGUAAUCCUUGGGGGACCACCUGUGGCGAAGGCGUCUCACCAGAACGGCUCCGACAGUGAGGGACGAAAGCUGGGGGAGCAAACCGGAUUAGAUACCCGGGUAGUCCCAGCUGUAAACGAUGCGCGUUAGGUGUAUCGGUGACCACGAGUCACCGAGGUGCCGAAGAGAAAUCGUGAAACGUGCCGCCUGGGAAGUACGGUCGCAAGGCUGAAACUUAAAGGAAUUGGCGGGGGAGCAC